AUUGAACGCUGGCGGCAUGCUUUACACAUGCAAGUCGAACGGCAGCGCGGGCUUCGGCCUGGCGGCGAGUGGCGAACGGGUGAGUAAUGCAUCGGAACGUGCCCAGUAGUGGGGGAUAGCCCGGCGAAAGCCGGAUUAAUACCGCAUACGACCUGAGGGUGAAAGCGGGGGACCGAAAGGCCUCGCGCUAUUGGAGCGGCCGAUGUCGGAUUAGCUAGUUGGUGGGGUAAAGGCUUACCAAGGCGACGAUCCGUAGCUGGUCUGAGAGGACGACCAGCCACACUGGGACCGAGACACGGCCCAGACUCCUACGGGAGGCAGCAGUGGGGAAUUUUGGACAAUGGGGGCAACCCUGAUCCAGCCAUGCCGCGUGCGGGAAGAAGGCCCUCGGGUUGUAAACCGCUUUUGUUCGGGAAGAAAUCCUCUGGGCUAAUACCCCGGGGGGAUGACGGUACCGGAAGAAUAAGCACCGGCUAACUACGUG
rnacentral:rRNA from 1 species